rnacentral:rRNA from 1 species
GAUGAACGCUGGCGGCGUGCUUAACACAUGCAAGUCGAACGAAGUUACAAAAUGGAAGUCUUCGGAUGGAAGUUUUGUAAUUUAGUGGCGGACGGGUGAGUAACGCGUGGGUAACCUGCCUUAUACUGGGGGAUAACAGUUGGAAACGACUGCUAAAACCGCAUAAUAUAAUGAAAUCGCAUGAUUUUAUUAUCAAAUAUUUAUAGGUAUAAGAUGGGCCCGCGUCUGAUUAGCUAGUUGGUGGGGUAAUGGCCUACCAAGGCAACGAUCAGUAGCCGGCUUGAGAGAGUGAUCGGCCACAUUGGGACUGAGACACGGCCCAAACUCCUACGGGAGGCAG